rnacentral:sRNA from 1 species
AGCUUCUACCAAGGUUCGAUUCGAGCGAAAGCGAGAAAGCUUUGCCGCAGGCAACGACCCGAAGGGCGAAACGCGCAGCGCUGAGUCAUCCUUCCCCCACCACCA